rnacentral:lncRNA from 1 species
CAUUUUCCAGUUCAAGGUGGCUUUACCUACCCUCCCUCCCAUCCUCUUUCUGCUGUUAUGAUGGGUAACUGUGCUUGAACACUGUAGACUUCAACUCUUUGAUUUCACAGUGGCUUUUCUGCUCUACUCUGUGGAGGGAAGCCCUAAUCUUGGGAAGUUUACCUGUUUAGCUGUGGUCACAUUCCUGUCCUUUCCUGAUCUCCAUAUUCCUCAGAGCACAGAAGUGCUACCUGCGAACUCUCCUUGGUCCAGGGAUGCAGAGAGAGAAAGAGGAAACAGGCAGGCAAUUACCCCAUGUGGCUCAGAGUCACAAGGCCAAGGGAAGCCACGCUGUAUAGAAGAGGAGCUUGGCUUCCUGGUUCACCUUUGUCAUCUUUCCUAG